UACGUAGGGUGCGAGCGUUGUCCGGAAUUAUUGGGCGUAAAGGGCUCGUAGGCGGUCUGUUGCGUCGGGAGUGAAAACUCAGGGCUUAACCCUGAGCCUGCUUCCGAUACGGGCAGACUAGAGGUAUGCAGGGGAGGACGGAAUUCCUGGUGUAGCGGUGAAAUGCGCAGAUAUCAGGAGGAACACCGGUGGCGAAGGCGGUUCUCUGGGCAUUACCUGACGCUGAGGAGCGAAAGUGUGGGGAGCGAACAGG
rnacentral:rRNA from 1 species